rnacentral:hammerhead_ribozyme from 1 species
ACCCUGCUGAUGAGUCCCAAGUAGCACGAAACUUAAGUCUAGGGU